AGUUUCUUUUUUUUUUUUCCAGAUUUAUUUAUUUAUUUAUUUUGCCGUUGUUUUUGUAUUUCUUUUUUUUUUUGGUAGGAAAAGUAUCCUUUUUUUGUUCAUUUUUUUUGAAGAUACUGGACUUAACAACACUCAGGUUUCCCAGCCUUGACUCUCUCUGGCUGACAUCAGCAGUCAUGUGGUAGCAGAGGAGCAGAUGCCAUUAGGAGCACCGGAGGACACCGAAGGACACAACGGAGGACACACCGAAGGACACCGGAG